rnacentral:rRNA from 1 species
UACGUAGGCAGCAAGCGUUGUUCGGAGUUACUGGGCGUAAAGGGUGUGUAGGCGGUUGGAUAAGUGUGGUGUGAAAUCUCCCGGCUCAACUGGGAGGGUGCGCUACAAACUGUCUGACUAGAGUGUGGGAUGGGAAAGUGGAAUUCCUGGUGUAGCGGUGAAAUGCGUAGAUAUCAGGAGGAACACCGAUGGCGAAGGCAGGUCACUGGGCCGCAACUGACGCUGAGGAGCGAAAGCGUGGGGGAGCGAACAGG